rnacentral:tRNA from 1 species
GGGAAUGAUUAGGAGGCUGGUGCCCCUCGCGGUCUUCAACACCGUUGUCCUGCUGAUAAAGUAGGAGGUGAGUUCGAUUCUCACGCGUUCCCG